rnacentral:misc_RNA from 1 species
GAUGAAGAACGCAGCGAAAUGCGAUAAGUAAUGUGAAUUGCAGAAUUCAGUGAAUCAUCGAAUCUUUGAACGCACAUUGCGCCCCCCAGUAUUCUGGCGGGCAUGCCUGUUCGAGCGUCAUUUCAACCAUCAAGCCCUGCUUGUGUUGGGGUCCUGCGGCUGCCCGCAGGCCCUGAAAACCAGUGGCGGGCUCGCUAGUCACACCGAGCGCAGUAGCACAUCUCGCUCCGGGCGUGCGGCGGGCUCCAGCCGUUAAAGCACCCACCUUUCGCAAGGUUGACCUCGGAUCAGGUAGGAAUGCCCGCUGAACUUAAGCAUAUCAAUAAGCGGAGGA